GAUGAAGAACGCAGCGAAAUGCGAUAAGUAUUGUGAAUUGCAGAAUUCAGUGAAUCAUCGAAUCUUUGAACGCACAUUGCGCCCGCCAGUAUUCUGGCGGGCAUGCCUGUUCGAGCGUCAUUUCAACCAUCAAGCCCCCGGCUUGUGUUGGGGACCUGCGGCUGCCGCAGGCCCUGAAAAGCAGUGGCGGGCUCGCUGUCACACCGAGCGUAGUAGCAUACAUCUCGCUCUGGGCGUGCUGCGGGUUCCGGCCGUUAAACCACCUUCAUAACCCAAGGUUGACCUCGGAUCAGGUAGGAAGACCCGCUGAACUUAAGCAUAUCAAUAAGCGGAGGA
rnacentral:misc_RNA from 1 species